ensembl:lncRNA
AAGAUGCUGAAUUCAAAGCAUUUUGAAAAUGACACACUUCCUGCUGCCAGUUGGUGGCGCUGUAACUUUGACUCCUAAUAGUCACAUAUAUGCGAUCGGCAUCAUACAUCGAACAAACCAAUGAAGUUUGAUCAAACUCAGGUAGUGUAUGUUGAUGUUAUUAGACAUUUCCUGUUUCUCAUUUCUCGCCAUAAUUUCAACGCCUCGCCACGGACAAACCGUUUGAGAUAUCAAAAAUAUCUUCGCAAUUUAGCA